CCCAGUUAUCAACUCCCAACCCCUGUGAACAUACCUUUUGUUGCCUCGGCGGGAUCGCCCCGGCGCCUCCGGGCCCGGAUCCAGGCGCCCGCCGCAGGACCCAAACUCUUGUUUUCUAUAUGAAUCUUCUGAGUGACACAAGCAAAUAAAUUA
rnacentral:misc_RNA from 1 species